CCCGGUAAACGGCGGCCGUAACUAUAACGGUCCUAAGGUAGCGAAAUUCCUUGUCGGGUAAGUUCCGACCUGCACGAAAGGCGCAACGACUUGGGCGCUGUCUCGACCAUGGACCCGGUGAAAUUGCACUGGUCGUGAAGAUGCGACUUACCCGCGGAAGGACGGAAAGACCCCGUGAACCUUCACUGCAGCUUGGCAUUGGCCGCUGGUCCCGCGUGUAGAGGAUAGGCAGGAGGCAUCGAUCCGGAGGCGCCAGCCCCCGGGGAGCCGCCCUUGGAAUACUGCCCUCGCGCGACCGGCGUCCUAACCCGAGGCCGUCAACCGGCUCGGGGACCGUGCCAGGCGGGCAGUUUGACUGGGGCGGUCGCCUCCUAAAGGGUAACGGAGGCGCGCGAAGGUCCGCUCGGGACGGUCGGCAACCGUCCUUUUGAAUGCAAGAGUACAAGCGGGCUUGACUGCGAGGCCCACAAGCCGAGCAGGUGCGAAAGCAGGCUCUAGUGAUCCGGCGGCCCCGAGUGGGUGGGCCGUCGCUCAACGGAUAAAAGGUACUCCGGGGAUAACAGGCUGAUCUUGCCCAAGAGUCCACAUCGACGGCAAGGUUUGGCACCUCGAUGUCGGCUCAUCGCAUCCUGGGGCUGGAGCAGGUCCCAAGGGUACGGCUGUUCGCCGUUUAAAGCGGUACGCGAGCUGGGUUCAGAACGUCGUGAGACAGUUCGGUCCCUAUCCUCCGUGGGCGCAGGAGAAUCGAUGGAGGCUGCCCCCAGUACGAGAGGACCGGGGUGGACGCACCUCCGGUGAACCGGUUGUCGACCAACGGCACGGCCGGGUAGCCGCGUGCGGCGCGGAUAACCGCUGAAGGCAUCUAAGCGGGAAGCCGUUCCAGGGAUUAGUUCUCCUUCCGGUAAGGGCCCAGGUAGACUACCUGGUCGAUAGACGGCAGGUGCAAGGCUGGCGACAGCCUCAGCCGAGCCGCACUAAUCGCCCGAGCUCUUCCGGAA
rnacentral:rRNA from 1 species